GACGAACGCUGGCGGCGUGCUUAACACAUGCAAGUCGAACGGAAAGGCCCUGCUUUUGUGGGGUGCUCGAGUGGCGAACGGGUGAGUAACACGUGAGUAACCUGCCCUUGACUUUGGGAUAUCUUCAGGAAACUGGGGCUAAUACCGGAUAGGAGCUCCUGCUGCAUGGUGGGGGUUGGAAAGUUUCGGCGGUUGGGGAUGGACUCGCGGCUUAUCAGCUUGUUGGUGGGGUAGUGGCUUACCAAGGCUUUGACGGGUAGCCGGCCUGAGAGGGUGACCGGCCACAUUGGGACUGAGAUACGGCCCAGACUCCUACGGGAGGCAGCAGUGGGGAAUAUUGCACAGUGGGCGGAAGCCUGAUGCAGCAACGCCGCGUGCGGGAUGACGGCCUUCGGGUUGUAAACCGCUUUCGCCUGUGACGAAGCGUGAGUGACGGUAAUGGGUAAAGAAGCACUGGCUAACUACGUG
rnacentral:rRNA from 1 species